CUGUUUGGCAGCACAGAUACUAAAAAUUGGAACAAUACAGAAAAGACUAGCAUGGCCCCUGCCCAAAGAGGACAUGCACAUUCUCAAAUUUGUGAAGUGUUC